UGCUAUACAUGCAAGUCGAGCGAACAGAUAAGGAGCUUGCUCCUUUGACGUUAGCGGCGGACGGGUGAGUAACACGUGGAUAACCUACCUAUAAGACUGGGAUAACUUCGGGAAACCGGAGCUAAUACCGGAUAACAUAUUGAACCGCAUGGUUCAAUAGUGAAAGGCGGCUUUGCUGUCACUUAUAGAUGGAUCCGCGCCGUAUUAGCUAGUUGGUAAGGUAACGGCUUACCAAGGCAACGAUACGUAGCCGACCUGAGAGGGUGAUCGGCCACACUGGAACUGAGACACGGUCCAGACUCCUACGGGAGGCAGCAGUAGGGAAUCUUCCGCAAUGGGCGAAAGCCUGACGGAGCAACGCCGCGUGAGUGAUGAAGGUCUUCGGAUCGUAAAACUCUGUUAUCAGGGAAGAACAAAUGUGUAAGUAACUGUGCACAUCUUGACGGUACCUGAUCAGAAAGCCACGGCUAACUACGUGCCAGCAGCCGCGGUAAUACGUAGGUGGCAAGCGUUAUCCGGAAUUAUUGGGCGUAAAGCGCGCGUAGGCGGUUUUUUAAGUCUGAUGUGAAAGCCCACGGCUCAACCGUGGAGGGUCAUUGGAAACUGGAAAACUUGAGUGCAGAAGAGGAAAGUGGAAUUCCAUGU
rnacentral:rRNA from 1 species